rfam:Phormidium ambiguum IAM M-71 NIES-2119_Scaffold_3, whole genome shotgun sequence.
GGGAGUGCAAAGAACCUGGGAGGUUGGCUUGAAGGUAGCCAUCCUUUAAAGAGUGUGUAAUAACUCACCAGCGGAGUCCCCCU